UUCGGGGUGUAAACCACUGUUGCCCGGGACGAAUAGCUCGAUUAAUCGAGCCUGACGGUACCGGGUGAGGAAGCACCGGCUAACUCCGUGCCAGCAGCCGCGGUAAUACGGGGGGUGCGAGCGUUGUCCGGAAUCACUGGGCGUAAAGGGCGCGUAGGUGGUUUGAUAAGGGUGUGGUGAAAGUCCGGGGCUCAACCCCGGAUCUGCCGUGCCGACUGUCAAACUCGAGGACUGUAGAGGCAGGCGGAAUUCCGGGUGUAGCGGUGGAAUGCGUAGAGAUCCGGAGGAAGACCGGUGGCGAAGGCGGCCUGCUGGGCAGUUUCUGACACUGAUGCGCGACAGCGUGGGGAGCAAACAGGAUUAGAUACCCUGGUAGUCCACGCCGUAAACGAUGGGUACUAGGUGCCUGGGGGAGCGACCCUCUGGGUGCCGGCGCUAACGCAGGAAGUACCCCGCCUGGGGAGUACGACCGCAAAGUUGGAACUCAAAAGAAUUGACGGA
rnacentral:rRNA from 1 species